rnacentral:rRNA from 1 species
UUCCGUCGGAAUCUGGGAGGACCAUCUCCUAAGGCUAAAUACUCUCUAGUGACCGAUAGUGAACCAGUACCGUGAGGGAAAGGUGAAAAGCACCCCGGAAGGAGAGUGAAAUAGAACCUGAAACCGUGUGCUUACAAGUAGUCAGAGCCCGUUAAUGGGUGAUGGCGUGCCUUUUGUAGAAUGAACCGGCGAGUUACGAUUUGAU